UCUCCCUCUUACCAUCUCACUCUAUCUCCCUUCCUCUUCCCCAAUCCUCCCCCAUCCUUCUCUCUUCCCAUCUCACUUUUCCGCACUCCACCCCUCUCUCUCCCCCCUCGCCUACUUCCUCCUCCUCUCCUCUCCCACCUUCUCUCGGACGCGGAGAGAGAUGCCGCGCUGGGCCCGAGGCCUCGGACUGGCGUUGUCGGGCCAGCGAGAUGAUCGUAGGCAAUUGGAUCAACCCAUUUCCCAGGAGGAAGUUGCUCAGGCUGUUCAAGAAUAGCAUUCUGGGAAAUCCCCAGGACCCGAUGGAUUCUCUGGAGAGUUUUAUUAGGCUUUUUCCUUCUUGCCUAUACCACACUUAUGUUCUACCCUUACAGAUUCCUUUAAGGCAUUCACAGUAGAGCGAAGAAAUACAAUAGAAUUAAUGAAAAAUACAAAGAUUGACAAGCAGCCAAAGUGCAAGACAAGCUCUGCAAAUAAACAAACAAAU